rnacentral:rRNA from 1 species
CCUACGGGAGGCAGCAGUGGGGAAUAUUGGACAAUGGGCGGAAGCCUGAUCCAGCAAUGCCGCGUGAGUGAUGAAGGCCUUAGGGUUGUAAAGCUCUUUUACCCGGGAUGAUAAUGACAGUACCGGGAGAAUAAGCUCCGGCUAACUCCGUGCCAGCAGCCGCGGUAAU